AAGACUAUAGACCUGCGGAGUACCUGCGGAAGGAUCAUUACAUGGCGGAGAAGGUGGGCAACCUGGCCAACAUCCAGGUUGUGAUGCCUUCACGCUCUUCCACCCUUGUCUAUUUGCACCUUCUGUCGUUCCCUCGGCGGGUUUCGACCCGCCGGCGGCAACAUUGAAAAACCCUUUUUGCAGUUAGCAUUCAAUUCUUCUGAUCAAAAUAUCAAAUCGUUACAACUUUUAACAACGGAU
rnacentral:misc_RNA from 1 species